UCCCUGGUAGUUCAGUUGGUAAAGAAUCUGCCUGCAAUGCAGGAGACCCUGGUUCGAUUCCUGGGUUGGGAA
rnacentral:tRNA from 1 species